CCCCUUCGGGGGUACACGAGCUGGCGAACGGGUGAGUAACACGUGGGUAAUCUGCCCUGCACUUCGGGAUAAGCCUGGGAAACUGGGUCUAAUACCGGAUAUGAACUCCUGCCGCAUGGUGGGGGUUGGAAAGUUUUUCGGUGCAGGAUGAGCCCGCGGCCUAUCAGCUUGUUGGUGGGGUAAUGGCCUACCAAGGCGACGACGGGUAGCCGGCCUGAGAGGGUGAUCGGCCACACUGGGACUGAGACACGGCCCAGACUCCUACGGGAGGCAGCAGUGGGGAAUAUUGCACAAUGGGCGAAAGCCUGAUGCAGCGACGCCGCGUGNGGGAUGACGGUCUUCGGAUUGUAAACCCCUUUCAGUAGGGACGAAGCGCAAGUGACGGUACCUGCAGAAGAAGCACCGGCUAACUACGUGCCAGCAGCCGCGGUAAUACGUAGGGUGCGAGCGUUGUCCGGAAUUACUGGGCGUAAAGAGCUCGUAGGCGGUUUGUCACGUCGUCUGUGAAAUCCCUCGGCUUAACCGGGGGCGUGCAGGCGAUACGGGCAGACUUGAGUACUACAGGGGAGACUGGAAUUCCUGGUGUAGCGGUGAAAUGCGCAGAUAUCAGGAGGAACACCGGUGGCGAAGGCGGGUCUCUGGGUAGUAACUGACGCUGAGGAGCGAAAGCAUGG
rnacentral:rRNA from 1 species